UCGGGAAUUUUGGGCAAUGGGCGAAAGCCUGACCCAGCAACGCCGCGUGAAGGAUGAAGUAUUUCGGUAUGUAAACUUCGAAAGAAUAGGAAGAAUAAAUGACGGUACUAUUUGUAAGGUCCGGCUAACUACGUGCCAGCAGCCGCGGUAAUACGUAGGGAUCAAGCGUUGUUCGGAUUUACUGGGCGUAAAGGGCGCGUAGGCGGCGUGGUAAGUCAUCUGUGAAAUCUCCGAGCUUAACUCGGAACGGUCAGAUGAUACUGCUGUGCUAGAGUACAGAAGGGGCAAUCGGAAUUCUUGGUGUAGCGGUGAAAUGCGUAGAUAUCAAGAGGAACACCUGAGGUGAAGACGGGUUGCUGGGCUGAUACUGACGCUGAGGCGCGAAAGCUAGGGUAGCAAACGGGAUUAGAUACCCGAGUAGUCCCUGAGCGGGCUGGCAAGGCGCAU
rnacentral:rRNA from 1 species